rnacentral:rRNA from 1 species
UCCAAGAAAAGCAUCUAGAAAGAGAAAUAGUGCCCGUACCGCAAACCGACACAGGUAGGUGAGGAGAGAAUCCUAAGGCCGGCGGAAGAAUUGCAGUUAAGGAACUAGGCAAAUUGACCCCGUAACUUCGGGAGAAGGGGUGCCUGCGAGAGCAGGCCGCAGAGAAUAGGCACAAGCAACUGUUUAACAAAAACACAGGUCUCUGCUAAAGCGAAAGCUGAUGUAUAGGGGCUGACGCCUGCCCGGUGCUGGAAGGUUAAGGGGAACACUUAGCGUAAGCGAAGGUGUGAACUUAAGCCCCAGUAAACGGCGGCCGUAACUAUAACGGUCCUAAGGUAGCGAAAUUCCUUGUCAGGUAAGUUCUGACCCGCACGAAUGGCGUAAUGACUUGUGCACUGUCUCAACUGCAAAUCCGGCGAAGUUGUAGUGCGAGUGAAGAUGCUCGCUACCCGCGAUUGGACGGAAAGACCCCGUAGAGCUUUACUGUAGCUUAGCAUUGAAUUUCGGUAUUGUCUGUACAGGAUAGGUGGGAGACUGGGAAAUCAGAGCGUCAGCUUUGAUGGAGUCAUCCUUGGGAUACCACCCUGAUAGUACUGGAAUUCUAACUGGAUGCCAUGAAUCUGGUGACAGGACAUUGUUAGGUGGGCAGUUUGACUGGGGCGGUCGCCUCCUAAAAAGUAACGGAGGCGCCCAAAGGUUCCCUCAGAACGGUCGGAAAUCGUUCGUAGAGUGCAAAGGCAUAAGGGAGCCUGACUGCGAGACCUACAAGUCGAGCAGGGACGAAAGUCGGGCUUAGUGAUCCGGUGGUACCUCGUGGGAGGGCCAUCGCUCAACGGAUAAAAGCUACCUCGGGGAUAACAGGCUGAUCUCCCCCAAGAGUUCACAUCGACGGGGAGGUUUGGCACCUCGAUGUCGGCUCGUCGCAUCCUGGGGCUGAAGUAGGUCCCAAGGGUUGGGCUGUUCGCCCAUUAAAGCGGCACGCGAGCUGGGUUCAGAACGUCGUGAGACAGUUCGGUCCCUAUCCGUCGCGGGCGCAGGAAAUUUGAGAAGAGCUGUCCUUAGUACGAGAGGACCGGGAUGGACCGACCUAUGGUGUACCAGUUGUUUCGCCAGAAGCAUAGCUGGGUAGCUAAGUCGGGACGGGAUAAACGCUGAAAGCAUCUAAGCGUGAAGCCUCCUUCAAGAUGAGAUUUCCCAUAGCGUAAGCUAGUAAGACCCCUUGAAGACUACAAGGUUGAUAGGUCAGAGGUGUAAGUGUGGCAACAUAUUUAGCUGACUGAUACUAAUAGGUCG